rnacentral:lncRNA from 1 species
AAAGAGGAUUAAAAGUUAACGUGCAGCAUUGGGUUCGUUUCCCGUGUACAACCUGGUAAUGCGACAGUCUUCAAUUUGUGUGUACCUGGAUAUUAAUUGGUAGUUACACUUUAAUCAUUCUUAUUUCAGAGUGUACAGAAUCAUGACAUGCUGGAGUUCUAUUUCAGAUCUAAAUAAUUUUUAGACUAAAACCGUGCCAUUUAAAAUAAAUUUCUCUGGCAUUUCAAAAAGAAAAAAAGGAUUAAAAGAGGAUAAAUUCUAUACCAUUUCUGGUUCUCAAUGUCUUACUUUGUAAACUGAGGGUAAUAGACUCAAUGUCAUUUAUAUUACUUUUUUAUCUAAAGUUCUGUUAUUGUACACAAUAUGUCAACUCCUAUGAAUGCCAUCUUUUUAUACACUGGGAAGAAAAGAAAAAAAGAAUUUUCUGGCAAGGAUACCACCCGUUUUUCUAGUUUUCCUUUCUAGGGACUUGUUCUCCCUUUCCAUUCCUUGAUUCAAUAUAUCAAAUUCAAGACUUUACAACUCAGUAUCUUAUAGUAUCACACAUCUUUGUUAAAAAUAACUGAGCGCAAAAAAGUUUAAUGAAACGAUAACCCUUUAACAACAAUACAUUGAAGCCUUAGGUGGAAAAUUGCAAGGAGGCCAAUGUCAUGUGUGGUUUGUACACAGAUUAAUCGAUGAUACAUAUAAGAGCACCUAACACAUAGGAAGUUCUCAAGAAAACAUGUUAAGUGAGCGAGUGCACAAAACAAAUAUAAGGCACAUAGUUACUUUAAGUCCUAAUUAUCAUCUUUCUUAACAACCUGGACCCAGGUGUGGUUUAAGGUCAUACUUCUUUCCAUGUCAACUUCAUCUCAUUCUUUUUCUGCUCACUGAUGUCUUACCUCUUUUAAAUGUUUUCCAGCUUUAUUGAGGCAUAUUGACAAAUAUAAUUGUAAGAUAUUUAAAUUGCAAAUAAUGUAAGAAGGAAGAUUUGAUAUACGUAUACCCUGUGACGGGAUUCUCCCCAUCGAGUUAAAUCGCACAUACCUCACCUCACAUAGUUGUCUUUCGGGGGUGGCGAGAACCUUUAAGUUCUACUCUCUUUGCACAUUUCACUUAAUACAAUACAGUGUUGUCAACCACAGUCACCAUGUUUUCCAUUAGAUCCUCAGGCCUUAUUCAUGUUACAAGGGAAAGUGU